CUUCUUCUUCUCCUCCUCCUCCUCUUCCUCGCGGGCCCGCGCCCCUGCCCGCCGGGGUCCCCCUUGCCGCCGCUGGGGCCGCGGCCCGCGCCGCCGAGCCGAGCUGCGCUGCCGCCGCGCUGCCGGGGCGGCCGCUGCCCGCGGGCCCGGCUGCCUGGGCGGCGGAACGUGCCGGUAGCGAGGGACGGAGCCGCGCGGGGGAGGGGAGGGGGGAAAAGAGGGGCAGCCUCGAUCUGGGCCGGCCGGCCGCGCCCGCUGAUUGGCCGCGGCGCCCGAGGCCGGCGGCGAAUAGGAAGCAGGGAGGCAGAGGGAGGGAGCAGCGCGGCGGCGUGACGCGAGCGCUGACGGCCGCCGCGCGGGGGCGGGGCGCCGGCCUUUCGAGGAGGUUCGGCCGCUUCCCUCAGGCGCGGCGGCGGCGGCCAUUUUGGGUGGCGGGUGCGGACCGGGUCGGGAGGGGCGGCAGCCGCGGCGGGGCCGUACCGUGCCUGACCGCCCUCCUUCCCUCCUUCCGCCGCCGCGCUCACCCAGCUGAAAUUCAGCAACGGGAUCAUCCUUCGUCCCGCUCGACUUCGUAUUCGCCGACCCCCAGGCUUUGGCGCCAAGGCGGCUGCUUUUGGAAAGAGGAAGAAGUAGUGCGCAGGAAACGGCUGCAGGCACCUUGGCAGCCUCCUGAGAGACCCGGGGAACCCCUGUGUGGCUGUGGGCCUGCUGCAGAGCUGCCAUGGGGAUGCUCUGCUCUAUGUUCUCGCCGAAUGCGGCCAGAAGUCCCGCUUUCUCUGCAUCUUCCUACCUGCAUAACACACCUUUCGGGGCCCCUUCACAAAACGUGGUGAGUGCUCAGGGAGGUGCUUUGCUCCAAGUGCAGAAGAAGAGGAGAGGAAGUUUUGUAACAGUGAAUUCUCUGUCCACUAACUCCUCAUCCUAAAGAAGCCUCCAACUAAGCUAUUUAUUCAUAAAAUACAGAAAAAAACAACUAACUCCAACAGCAGCAGAACUAAUUAAGUCUGGGUUCUCUGGAUUUAUGUCCUCUUGUUGGCUUUCUUUUGACUAAAAUGGAACAUUUAUCUCCCAGGGGAUGUCUCUUGUACCUUAUCAGCCUUUCCUUCAAUGGGGGCACCAGUAUGGUCACCUUUCUCUGUCUCACUGCUUUUCUUAAUUAAACUUUUAGGCAUGUAAUUCCUUUGAGAAUCCUCCUCUCUGUCCAAAUUGAUUAAUAUUUAAGGCUUAAAAGUUAUUAAAAAAAGUAGGGGUCUAGGUGGACAGAUGACAUGGCCAAAGUGUCGCUUCUUUUGGACACCAAGCUCAUAGAAAACCCAAUAUUUAAUACAUGAUAUUCUGCAAAGUGAAGGGAAUAAUUUUACUUUCUUCAAAGUAUAAUGGAAA
rnacentral:lncRNA from 1 species